rnacentral:rRNA from 1 species
GGACUACAAGGGUUUCUAAUCCUGUUUGAUCCCCACACUUUCGUGCCUCAGCGUCAGUUACUCCUUAGUAAGCUGCCUUCGCUAUCGGUGUUCUGGACGAUAUCUAAGCAUUUCACCGCUACACCGUCCAUUCCGCCUACCUCAUCAGUACUCAAGCAACCCAGUAUCAAUGGCACCUCUCCAGUUAAGCUGAAGUAUUUCACCACUGACUUAAGUCGCCGCCUACGCACCCUUUAAACCCAAUAAAUCCGGACAACGCUUGCCACCUACGUAUUACCGCGGCUGCUGGCAC